rnacentral:rRNA from 1 species
GAUGAACGCUGGCGGCGUGCCUAAUACAUGCAAGUCGAGCGAACGGACGAGAAGUUUGCUUUUCUGAUGUUAGCGGCGGACGGGUGAGUAACACGUGGAUAACCUACCUAUAAGACUGGGAUAACUUCGGGAAACCGGUGCUAAUACCGGAUAAUAUCUUGAACCGCAUGGUUCAAAAGUGAAAGACGGUCUUGCUGUCACUUAUAGAUGGAUCCGCGCUGCAUUAGCUAGUUGGUAGGGUAACGGCUUACCAAGGCAACGAUGGUAAGCCGACCUGAGAGGGGGAUCGGCAACACGGGAACGGGACAACGGUCAGAACUCCUACGGGAGGAGGAGGGGGGGAAUCUUGCGCAAUGGGCGAAGGCCUGACGAAGCAACGCGGCGGGAGUGAUGAGGGUCUUCGGAUCGUAAAACUCUGUUAUUAGGGAGGAACAUAUGUGUAAGUAACUGUGCACAGCUUGACGGUACCUAAUCAGAAAGCCACGGCUAACUACGUG